rnacentral:rRNA from 1 species
AGACCCGAAACCCGGUGAUCUAGCCAUGGGCAGGUUGAAGGUUGGGUAACACUAACUGGAGGACCGAACCGACUAAUGUUGAAAAAUUAGCGGAUGACCUGUGGCUGGGGGUGAAAGGCCAAUCAAACCGGGAGAUAGCUGGUUCUCCCCGAAAGCUAUUUAGGUAGCGCCUCGUGAAUUCAUCUCCGGGGGUAGAGCACUGUUUCGGCUAGGGGGCCAUCCCGGCUUACCAACCCGAUGCAAACUGCGAAUACCGGAGAAUGUUAUCACGGGAGACACACGGCGGGUGCUAACGUCCGUCGUGAAGAGGGAAACAACCCAGACCGCCAGCUAAGGUCCCAAAGUCAUGGUUAAGUGGGAAACGAUGUGGGAAGGCCCAGACAGCCAGGAUGUUGGCUUAGAAGCAGCCAUCAUUUAAAGAAAGCGUAAUAGCUCACUGGUCGAGUCGGCCUGCGCGGAAGAUGUAACGGGGCUAAACCAUGCACCGAAGCUGCGGCAGCGAACGUAUCACCCAAGACAACUUUACGGAGUUGACGAUUGACGGAGCGAAGCGACGUCAAAGCGUUCAUUAAAGUCGAGUUGGCUUAGGGAUACGUUCGUUGGGUAGGGGAGCGUUCUGUAAGCCUGUGAAGGUGUGUCGUGAGGCAUGCUGGAGGUAUCAGAAGUGCGAAUGCUGACAUAAGUAACGAUAAAGCGGGUGAAAAGCCCGCUCGCCGGAAGACCAAGGGUUCCUGUCCAACGUUAAUCGGGGCAGGGUGAGUCGACCCCUAAGGCGAGGCCGAAAGGCGUAGUCGAUGGGAAACGGGUUAAUAUUCCCGUACUUGGUGUUACUGCGAAGGGGGGACGGAGAAGGCUAUGUUGGCCGGGCGACGGUUGUCCCGGUUUAAGCGUGUAGGUGUGUGUUCCAGGUAAAUCCGGUUCACUUUAACACUGAGGCGUGACGACGAGGCACUACGGUGCUGAAGCAACAAAUGCCCUGCUUCCAGGAAAAGCCUCUAAGCAUCAGGUAACACGAAAUCGUACCCCAAACCGACACAGGUGGUCAGGUAGAGAAUACCAAGGCGCUUGAGAGA